AUUGUUUGGAGAGUUUGAUCCUGGCUCAGGACGAACGCUGGCGGCGUGCUUAACACAUGCAAGUCG
rnacentral:rRNA from 1 species